rnacentral:rRNA from 1 species
CCUACGGGUGGCAGCAGUAGGGAAUAUUGCUCAAUGGGGGAAACUCUGAACCAGCAACGCCGCGUGGAGGAUGAAGGUUUUCGGAUUGUAAACUCCUUUUUUUAGAGAGAUUAUAACGGUCUCUAACGAAUAAUCAACGGCUAACCCUGUGCAAGCAGCCGCGGGAAUACGGAGGGUGCAAGCGUUACUCGGAAUCACUGGGGGUAAAGCGCGCGUAGGCGGGAUAGCAAGUCAGAUGUGAAAUCCUUUGGCUUAACCAUAGAACUGCAUUUGAAACUGUUAGUCUCGAGUAUGGGAGAGGUAGGUGGAAUUCUUGGUGUAGGGGCAAAAUGCGUAGAGAUCACGAGGAAUACUGAUUGCGAAGGCGACCUGCUAGAGCGUAACUGACGCUGAUGCGCGAAAGCGUGGGGAGCAAACAGGAUUAGAUACCCGAGUAGUC